rnacentral:rRNA from 1 species
GUGAAGAGGGAAACAACCCAGACCGCCAGCUAAGGUCCCAAAGUCAUGGUUAAGUGGGAAACGAUGUGGGAAGGCCCAGACAGCCAGGAUGUUGGCUUAGAAGCAGCCAUCAUUUAAAGAAAGCGUAAUAGCUCACUGGUCGAGUCGGCCUGCGCGGAAGAUGUAACGGGGCUAAACCAUGCACCGAAGCUGCGGCAGCGACACUAUGUGUUGUUGGGUAGGGGAGCG